rnacentral:rRNA from 1 species
AACGAACGCUGGCGGCGUGGAUAAGACAUGCAAGUCGAACGGGACAGACCGAGUAGCAAUAUUUGGAGUGUUCAGUGGCGAACGGGUGCGUAACACGUGGAUAACAUUCCGGAAAGCGGGGAAUAGCCCAGGGAAACUUGGAUUAAUACCGCAUGUGGCCGCAAGGCUAAAGACGGGGACCGCAAGGCCUGUCACUUUCCGAUUGGUCCGCGGCCUAUCAGCUAGUUGGCGGGGUAAUGGCCCACCAAGGCUACGACGGGUAGCUGGUCUUAGAGGACGACCAGCCACACUGGAACUGAGACACGGUCCAGACACCUACGGGUGGCAGCAGUCGAGAAUCUUUCACAAUGGGGGCAACCCUGAUGGAGCGACGCCACGUGGAGGAUAAGGUCUUCGGAUUGUAAACUCCUGUCAUGCGAGAACAAGGUACUCAGGCUAAUAACCUGAUUGUUUGAUGGUACCGCAAGAGGAAGAGACGGCUAACUCUGUGCCAGCAGCCGCGGUAAGAC